AAAUCAGUGUCGAUCGAUACAC
rnacentral:siRNA from 1 species